AACGAACGCUGGCGGCAUGCCUAACACAUGCAAGUCGAACGAGACCUUCGGGUCUAGUGGCGCACGGGUGCGUAACGCGUGGGAACCUGCCUUUAGGUUCGGAAUAACUCAGAGAAAUUUGAGCUAAUACCGGAUGAUGUCUUCGGACCAAAGAUUUAUCGCCUUUAGAUGGGCCCGCGUUGGAUUAGCUAGUUGGUGGGGUAAAGGUCUACCAAGGCGACGAUCCAUAGCUGGUCUGAGAGGAUGAUCAGCCACACUGGGACUGAGACACGGCCCAGACUCCUACGGGAGGCAGCAGUGGGGAAUAUUGGACAAUGGGCGAAAGCCUGAUCCAGCAAUGCCGCGUGAGUGAUGAAGGCCUUAGGGUUGUAAAGCUCUUUUACCCGAGAUGAUAAUGACAGUAUCGGGAGAAUAAGCUCCGGCUAACUCCGUG
rnacentral:rRNA from 1 species